rnacentral:rRNA from 1 species
AAUGGUGGGGGUGAUAUACCCGUUCCCUUUCCGAACACGGAAGUCAAGCCCCCCAACGCCGAUGAUACUGCCCCUCAAGGGCGGGAAAGUAGGUAACCGCCAGGC